rnacentral:misc_RNA from 1 species
UCCGGUUUGGCACCGGCAGUCCCCCCAGAGUCCCCGGCAUGACCCGUUGGCAACUGGGGGCGAGGGUUGCGCUCGUUGCGGGACUUAACCCAACAUCUCACGACACGAGCUGACGACAGCCAUGCAGCACCUGUGCGCGGGCUCCGAAGAGGGCCCCCUGUUUCCAAGGGGUUUCCCGCGCAUGUCAAGCCCAGGUAAGGUUCUUCGCGUUGCGUCGAAUUAAACCACAUGCUCCACCGCUUGUGCGGGCCCCCGUCAAUUCCUUUGAGUUUCAGCCUUGCGGCCGUACUCCCCAGGCGGGGCACUUAAUGCGUUAGCGCCGGCACUCAGGGGGUCGCUCCCCCAAGCACCUAGUGCCCAUCGUUUACGGCGUGGACUAC